rnacentral:hammerhead_ribozyme from 1 species
GGCUAGCUGACGAGUCUCAAACAGAACGAAACGCGCAUCUUGGAU